UUCCGGUUGAUCCCGCCGGAGAUCACUGCUAUUGGAAUUCGGCUAAGGCAUGCGAGUCGAGAGGGUUCGGCCCUCGGCGGACGGCUCAGUAACACGUGGAUAAUCUGCCCUUAGGUGGGGGAUACUCUCGAGAAAUUGAGCAUAAUACCCCAUAGUUCUAAACUGCUGGAAUGCAUUUAGGAUUAAAGCCCCGGCGCCUAAGGAUGAGUCUGCGGCCUAUCAGGUUGUAGUGAGUGUAACGGACUCACUAGCCGACGACGGGUACGGGUCCUGGAAGGGAGUGCCCGGAGAUGGACUCUGAGACACGAGUCCAGGCCCUACGGGGCGCAGCAGCUACGAAAACUUCACAAUGCGGGAAACCGCGAUGAGGGAAUUCCAAGUGCUUAUACUUUGUAUAAGCUGUUUACUUGCCUAAAAAGCAGGUAGAGUAAGGGCUGGGUAAGACUGGUGCCAGCCGCCGCGGUAAUACCAGCAGCUCGAGUGGUGAUCGUUUUUAUUGGGCCUAAAGCGUUCGUAGCCGGUUUGGUAAACCCUUGGGUAAAUCGGGCAGCUUAACUGUCCGACUUCUGAGGAGACUGCCAGACUUGGGACCGGGAGAGGUCAGAGGUACUUUUAGGGUAGGGGUGAAAUCCUGUAAUCCUAAAAGGACCACCAGUGGCGAAGGCGUCUGACUAGAACGGGUCCGACGGUAAGGGACGAAGCCCUGGGUCACGAACCGGAUUAGAUACCCGGGUAGUCCAGGGUGUAAACGCUGCGGGCUUGGUGUUGGGGGUCCUACGAGGGCAUCCAGUGCCGGAGAGAAGUUGUUAAGCCCGCCGCCUGGGGAGUACGGUCGCAAGACUGAAACUUAAAGGAAUUGGCGGGGAGCACAGCAACGGGUGGAGCGUGCGGUUUAAUUGGAUUCAACGCCGGGA
rnacentral:rRNA from 1 species